GACGAGAAAGUCUGAGCCACAGACCACUUUGAGUUCCAUCUAGAUGCUACAAGAGCUGCAGGAGGCUUUGAACUGACACGGUAGAGUUCCUUGGACAGCCCAGGGAAGGGCCCCCACCUUCGUUGCUCCCUUCUCCUGUCCCCCCACCUACCAAAACACAGCAGCCCCAUCUUCAGACAGAAGGCACGCUGCCUCGAGGAGGCUCACAGUUCCAGCCUUUAGAACCAUCCAGAGGUUAGACUCAGGGCACAACCAUCAGACGAAGUGGGAGGAAGAAACAUUAACUUCAACAGCUGUUUCUUGACCCCGGCUGUCAGUCUUCCCAAGAAUAAAUUUUGGAGAGUCCUAUUUGAAACAAAGAGGGAGUUUUGGGGGAGAGAAAAGUUGGUUGGUUCCAGGGCAGCCGCCCAAAGAAGCAGGGAACAAGAUGUUUGCAGUUACCACGCAGCCUGCAAGCCUCUGCCGGGUGCAGGCAAGGAGCAAAGUAACUUGAAAGCUCCCCUCUCGGCGCCCUGUGCCUGCAGCUUCCCCCCCUAACGCGCGCCCAGAUCCAGCGCCGGUGGUAAGAGCCGAAGCUCGACUACAGUAAUUCCCCAGCUCGGGCGGCUUGAAACUGCUCGGGCUGAAUAGCAUUUGCUGUUCCGUCCUGUGGCAGCCUCCCGCCGCCGCUGCCGCGCUCCCUGCAAAGCAGCUCUCAUUAUCCCGGAAGUUGUGCUGACACAGUCUCGCUGCCACCAGAAGUUUGUCAACAUCAAACUUCUCCUGUGUGGGGUACGUUCACCUUCCACGAGUAUUUAAUCGAGCCAACAAGCAAACAAACAAACCCAAAUAAACCUGCCCGUGAUGUCAUGGUC